rnacentral:tRNA from 1 species
GCCGGAUUAGCUCAACAGGCCAGAGCACCUGUCUUGUAAACAGGCCACGCGGGUUCGAGUCCUGCAUCCGGCU